UACGGAGGGUGCAAGCGUUAUCCGGAUUCACUGGGUUUAAAGGGUGCGUAGGAGGGCAGGUAAGUCAGUGGUGAAAUCUCCAAGCUUAACUUGGAAACUGCCGUUGAUACUAUCUGUCUUGAAUAUUGUGGAGGUGAGCGGAAUAUGUCAUGCAGCGGUGAAAUGCUUAGAUAUGACAUAGAACACCAAUUGCGAAGGCAGCUCACUACACAAUCAUUGACUCUGAGGCACGAAAGCGUGGGGAGCAAACAGG
rnacentral:rRNA from 1 species